UACGGAGGGUGCAAGCGUUAUCCGGAUUCACUGGGUUUAAAGGGCGCGUAGGCGGGUUGGUAAGUCAGUGGUGAAAUCCCCGAGCUUAACUUGGGAACUGCCAUUGAUACUAUCAGUCUUGAAUACUGUGGAGGUUAGCGGAAUAUGUCAUGUAGCGGUGAAAUGCUUAGAUAUGACAUAGAACACCAAUUGCGAAGGCAGCUGGCUACACAAUUAUUGACACUGAGGCUCGAAAGCGUGGGGAUCAAACAGG
rnacentral:rRNA from 1 species